rnacentral:rRNA from 1 species
AUUGAACACUGGCGGCAUGCUUUACACAUGCAAGUCGAACGGUAACAGGUUAAGCUGACGAGUGGCGGACGGGUGAGUAAUGCAUCGGAACGUGCCCGAUCGUGGGGGAUAACGCAGCGAAAGCUGCGCUAAUACCGCAUACGAUCUGAGGAUGAAAGCGGGGGACCGUAAGGCCUCGCGCGAUCGGAGCGGCCGAUGUCAGAUUAGGUAGUUGGUGGGGUAAAGGCUCACCAAGCCAACGAUCUGUAGCUGGUCUGAGAGGACGACCAGCCAUACUGGGACUGAGACACGGCCCAGACUCCUACGGGAGGCAGCAGUGGGGAAUUUUGGACAAUGGGCGAAAGCCUGAUCCAGCAAUGCCGCGUGUAGGAAGAAGGCCUUCGGGUUGUAAACUGCUUUUGUACGGAGCGAAAAGGCCCUCUCUAAUACAGUGGGCUCAUGACGGUACCGUAAGAAUAAGCACCGGCUAACUACGUGCCAGCCGCCGCAGUAA